rnacentral:tRNA from 1 species
GGUCGCGUAGCUCAGCUGGUUAGAGCGUUCGCUUCACAUGCGAAAGGUCCCUGGUUCAAAUCCAGGCGCGACCA